GACGUAGGGCGCGAGCGUUUGUCCGGAUUUAUUGGGCGUAAAGAGCUCGUAGGCGGCUCAUUGCGUCAACCGUGAAAACCAGCAGCUCAACUGUUGGCUUGCGGUUGAUACGGGUGGGCUGGAGUUCGGUAGGGGAGACUGGAAUUCCUGGUGUAGCGGUGAAAUGCGCAGAUAUCAGGAGGAACACCGGUGGCGAAGGCGGGUCUCUGGGCCGAUACUGACGCUGGAGGAGCGAAAAGCCGUGGGGAGCGAACAGG
rnacentral:rRNA from 1 species